UGAAUCAUUAUAAGUCACCUGUUUUUCAAUAAAAAUAAAAUAAAGAAAUUUUAGCUCAAAAGAAAGAAUUGAAAGGGAAGAAAGAAGGAGGUUGACUUAUGGCAGAAUGGGAUUUGCAUAAGAUUGUGAAUGUAAUUAUCAUCUGAUCAUUUAUGAAACGUGAGGUCCCCUAGUACAGAGUUUGCUUUGAAACAACUUACAUCUUUUUGGUUUUGCUUGUGUAACUGGGAGGUUUAUCUGGGAAAUGUUUAGGAGUAGAUAUUUGAUACUUUGAUGUAACUAUAUCGGGUACCCCCACAAAAAUCCUAGCAGGAGGAAAGAAUUGGUUCCUUGCCAUCCAAGGGCCAGCUAUGCAUUUGGGGGCAUUCUUAUGCUUUAAUGAUAAUUAAGUUCAAUUUUAGAAGUAAAUAACUUGGAAAUAUGGCUUAGACCUCAAAAAUGUUGGCCAUUAUUAGCAUGACUAUGAUGAUAAUAUAUAUACUGAGUAAGCAAUGGUCCCUGAUUGAACAAGUCCAUGGACCAAAAUUUAUGCCUUCGGUAUCUAUACAAUAAGGAGGGACUAAACGCAGAGACAAAGAUGGACACCCUUGCUUACAGUCAAAUGUUAUGCAGCCAUUGGAGAUGUCUUACAUCACUGCUCAAACAAGUACUUAGCACAGUCCCUGGAACAUAGGGCCACUCAGGGUGGCCAGACUGGGGAGUGUCUGCUUUGCUCUUCAGUGCUGUCCACUAUCCUCCCAAUUUAUGUGCGAGUCUCUCUUUUGAUGGAGGAAGCACACAUUGAACUGUCUAGGAAGACUCCCACUGGCUUAGGUUUGCUGCACAUCUCUAGGAUUUGCUCUUUACUUCAUCUAUCACUUUAAUUAUCCUGGUAAACUUCUCUUCCAAUUAUUUUCUCUUUUUUCCUCUGCCUAUUUUCCACAGUCUUCUUCUGUCAUUGAGUUCACUCUUUCCAUUCCCUGGGGCUGGACACCCUGUCUUCUCUUAGUCUGUUGACACUGAGGCACAGGUAUCCUGUAUUGCCCAGCUACCUAUCGGCAGGGAUGUAUUCCCUUUUGCUAACCAUCUGCAGAAUGGGAAGGCCCGUUGCUUUGUCUGUGUAGCUGGUUUAUCGGAAACUGAUGGAAACCUGUAGAGAAGAACCAGGGCCUCCUCCUGUGUUGGUCUGUAGGCAUCCCACUUGGCCCCAGCAAAGCAGAGUGAAACCCAAAGGCUUGUUUCACACUUGACCUUUAGGCUGACCUGUAGGAUUGAUCCCCUGGUGAACCUCAUGCUAUUUAGGUAUUUUCUUCAAGACAUAGGAGCUACUGAAAGCUUCUAGAAAGCUUUGCAUUUUUUAAAAUGGAAGUAAAAGUUAAUAUUUUUAAAUAGUUGCCAUAUCAUGACUCACUGUUUUGACAUCGCACUGAAAUAAUUUAUGAGUGUUUUACAUCUUUACAUUUAAAUACAUCUGAUACCUCUUUGAAGCAGCUAAAAACUGUUCCAGACCCAGUACCAGCUGUCAUGUGAAUAGGGAUUAUUCUUUGGGGACAAGGAAUGGAGGACAUCUCCCGACCCUCUGAUUCAUUUAUAUAUAAAAAGAUUGUGUGUCACUCAUUUUCCUUGAUCUUUUAUAUAUAGUAGAAUCCAGCUUGCAAAUUUAUAGGGCUUAGACGAUUUUUUUAAAAAAAAUUACUGAAUUAAAUUCUGGAAUAAAACUUUAAUUUUAUUGGCAUUUAAUGGAAUUCUUUUCACUGUGGAGCAAAACAAAAGAUACUUUUAAUUCUCUAUCAAAUCAUUAACCUUGGUAUUUGAACUAACUGAAAGUACCAUCUUGCACAAUCUCAAGACCUCCUUGAAGGCAAAACAUUGUAUUAUCAUCAUCUUUAUUUCACCCCAGAGUGUCUAGGAAAGCAAGACCACAGCUGAUGAAAAAUCAGUUUGCUAAUGAACUGCAUUUAAGUUGUAGCAGAGAGAUGCUCAAAUGACACCUCCUAGGAACUGAAAAAAGAAAAUUGUUUUAUUUUUCACUGCCUCUUAAAUCUGCAGUUUCACUGUUUCUUUCCCCUCCUCUUUUCUAGACAGCUCUCAAUCUCCAGAUGUCCUUUUCAUGGAGACACUUAUAGUUCCUGUCUGGUGAUCUAGGAAAGUUCAAUUCUGUCUUCAGAACAUCUUUACCCUUGGCAUGCCUGCCAGUAUGGGCUCCCUCCUGCUGAGCACAUUUUCUCCUCUUUUUCACAUAAGUCCAAAUAUCUCCCACUUACAUUUCAAAGAUAUUAGACUAAAAGUGCUGGUGUCUGAAGCCUUCCCCUUUCUUCUGAAGAAACCCUCCAUCACGAAGACAAAUGUACGCAUAUGAGCAUUCUGUCCCAUCAUGGUGCACGUUGACAGCAUUCAAGAUGCCUUUGGAUAAAUUGGUCUGACUCUCAGCUUGAAAAUUCCUUCUCUUUCCCUUCUGCCCAGUGAAUAUGUAUUCAGCUUCCAUUGCUCUAUUCAACUAUCUCUACUUCUGUGCAUCUUUCUCAUUUAUUUUGGUUGGAAAUAGAUAUUUCUUCCAGUGGCCCUCUGCAUAAGCCCCUCUGACAACCUUAUAUCUUGAUGCAUGGUGGUUAAAUAUUCGUAUGCUCCCCCUAUCCCCAGCACAGUCCUGGACUUCUCAAGCAUAAGAAAACUAUCUUAUUCUGUUCUGUAAUCACUACCCAGAAUGAAGUAUGGAUCCUCAUACCCACUGAGCACUUGAUAAUGUCUGUACAACAGAUUUGAGUGUAUAUAGCAUUGGGAUUAUCUGAAGGGAAACACUUGUGAAUGAUAUAGAGUUAACAACUGAUUUUGAAUGAGGUGUAUGCUAAGCUAGAAUUUGAAGAGAAACAGUUUGUUUAUAGAAAACAAAUGAUACACUGAGUUAAAUUUUAUAUGCGUCUCCACUAACAAGGGUUCUUGUAUUGGUAGUUCAUCAACAAAUGGAAAUGAUUUCUUUUGGAAAAAUUGCAGGAAUUUGGAGUAAUAUAAAAGUUUAAUAUUUUGAAACUUAUUGAAAUGGAAGAUAAAAAUGAAUCACAGUACUGAAAUAAAUGUUGUUAAACAUGUGCUUAUUUCCUCAUAAAAAAGCAGGACUUGAGAUAAUCUUUGAAAGGUAUUAUGAGAUAUUUAUUUUAUUUAUUUUUUUAUGGCAGUAUGCAUGGCCUAUGGAGGUUCUCAGGCCAGGGAUUGAAUUUAAGAUGCAGCUGCGACCUACCCUGCAGUUGUGGCAAUGCUGGAUCUUUUAACCCACUGAACCUCCAUGGCAACCCGAGCUGCUGCAGUCAGAUUCUUAACCCACUGCACAACAGUGGGAACUCCAGAAAUUUCUUGAUUCAAUUUUAUUUGAAACAAAAAUGUAAUUAUAAUGUAUACAUGUAAGGAUAACUUGAUCCCCUUGCUGUACCAUGAGAAAAUAAAAAAAAUAAAAAA
rnacentral:lncRNA from 1 species